UACAGAGGGUGCGAGCGUUGUCCGGAAUCACUGGGCGUAAAGGGCGCGUAGGCGGCCUGAUAAGUCGGGGGUGAAAUCCUGUGGCUUAACCACAGGGCUGCCUCCGAGACUGUCGGGCUCGAGCACAGUAGAGGCAGGUGGAAUUCCCGGUGUAGCGGUAGAAUGCGUAGAGAUCGGGAAGAACAUCGGUGGCGAAGGCGGCCUGCUGGGCUGUUGCUGACGCUGAGGCGCGAAAGCGUGGGGAGCAAACAGG
rnacentral:rRNA from 1 species